CAGACGGGUGGCAGCAGGGAGGAAUAUGGGGCAAUGGGCGCUAGCCUGAACCAGCCAAGGAGCGUGAAGGAUGACUGCCCUAUGGGUUGUAAACUUCUUUUAUAUGGGAAUAAAGUGCAGUAUGUAUACUGCUUUGCAUGUACCUUAUGAAUAAGGAUCGGCUAACUCCGUGCCAGCAGCCGCGGUAAUACGGAGGAUCGGAGGGUUAUCCGGAUUUAUUGGGUUUAAAGGGAGCGUAGGCGGGUUGUUAAGUCAGUUGUGAAAGUUUGCGGCUCAACCGUAAAAUUGCAGUGGAUACUGGCAUCCUUGAGUACAGUAGAGGUAGGCGGAAUUCGCGGUGUAGCGGGGAAAUGCUUAGAUAUCACGAAGAACUCCGAUUGCGAAGGCAGCCUGCUGGACUGUAACUGACGCUGAUGCUCGAAAGUGUGGGUAUCAAACAGGAUUAGAUACCCUUGUAGUC
rnacentral:rRNA from 1 species